rnacentral:rRNA from 1 species
CUUCAGCAAGUGCGUUGUGCUCUGUGGCUGCUGAUCUUCCCCGCUCGUCUCGUCUGCUCCCCCUUUCCACACGCCGAACUCCCCUUCCUUCCUUCGUUGUUGACUCGAGCUCGAGACCUGCUCCUGCCGGAUCUGAUGAUGGAGCCGGCGGGAGACUCUUCCCUGGAGGCCGCGAUUGCAUGGCUGGUGCAGACCAUCCUUGCAACGCUCCUCAUGGACAAGAUGGAGGAGUGGAUUCGGCAAGUCGGGCUUGCCGACGACGUCGAGAGGCUCCAGUCUGAGGU